rnacentral:sRNA from 1 species
GCACUGUUCGAGUGUCUAAUGCAGUGAAACGAAAAAUGAUCUAGAUCGAUUCUUGAUUGGGAUGAUACCAACUUAUGAAGAGACUCAUUGGUGAGCAUGCAGAUUCAUCUGAAAAAAGCGCUGUAUUUGCGACCGUUUCGGGCAUUAUCGACCUAUCCGACAGGGAGCUAGUACGAUUUCGACGAAACAAAGUGCGCCAUU